ensembl:lncRNA
AUUACUUCUAAACACCUGCAUGUUCACUUAAAAAAAAAAAAAAAAGUGCUGAAAUAAAUGGGAUGAAACAUUCACAUGCCAUUGAUAAAGUUGAAAUAAUCCGUACCCUGUUGGAUUCAUUCUUUAUGCACAUACACAAGAAGAUACUUUUGGCCAUCUGUGUAGCGUAAAUAACCUGACACAAAGACAGAAACACAGGAAGAAUAGGAACACAAGCUCACAGAGCAUUUAGACACAGUAUCACCAUGGCCUGAUAAAAUUUACUGGGAAAAUAUUUCAAACUUAAAGAAGAAAAUGAAGUAAUUGUUAAAUUGUUGGGUAUUAGAUGGCAUCCCAAAAGCUGGAGACAAAUGAGUUCAAUAUCUUCUCUUAGGGGGAGGAGAGUGUAGGGAAAUAAAUGCAGUCCGUUCAGUGAGAAGCUCAGCAGAAGUUCUUUGAAAGCCCGAAGAGAGUGACAAGGCAAGGAAAUGACCAACAUGGAUUUAUCAAGAACAUGCUGAAUCAAACUGAUUCUUCUUUGACAGGAUAAUCAUCCAGGAUGCCAGUUAGAAGCAGCUAUAUCUCAACUGCAAUAAAGUACGGACAUCAUCCCAUGUGACAUAUAAAUAACUUGGGUAAUGCAGACUAAAUAAAAUCAGUAUAAAUCCCAACAAUUUAAUUUAUCAGUUCCCACUGGCUGAAAAAUAAGCAAUCAAUCCAAAGAACCCGCUUAGGAAAUGACUUCAUUUGUCAUACCUUGAUGAAAGAUCAUAAGGAUUCAUCUAUGGAUACAGACAGAUGUUACAAACACGGAGGAAGGAAAUAACUAAAACCCGAGGACCGUUUGACUUUAAAAAUACAAAUAAUCAAAUUCAUUUGGAAAAAGACUUUGAACUUCAGUCUCGGGGAGCCAGAUUGAUUCAAGAGCAGCCUCACUCUGUUCAGUGAGUAUGUACAGAUACACAAAAACACACACACAUGUAAAUUCCAGUUUGCUUUUAAAGCUAUGCUUCACUGAGAUUACUUUAACCAUACCAACAACUUGAGCACCCCCCUCC